CCUCCUCCCACACAACUCCAGACAAGCAAUUGAUUGUUCUAUUCCAGCAAGUAUGAUGAUGGGUGGAAGAUCAAUUGUUAAUAGUAGAAAGAUUGCUUGGAUUUCUCUCAAGUGUAACAGACAAAAUGGGUCAUAUGAGUGCGGAUACUUGUAAUGUAUUGGAUGGCCCAUAUUGUUCGUUCUCACAUACAAGUCGCUGGGAAACGGUAAUAUUUAACUUUAACAAAUUUUGAUUUUUUCCCAAAUGUUGAAUUCAUAUACACUAAUUAAUAUGAAUUGUCUUUUGCAGAGAUUCAAGACUACUACACCAGUUCCUGAGAAGUCACUAUUAUUCAUUAGGAACGCUGCUGCGAAGUAUAUAAUUAGAUUAUACAAUAGCUCUUAGAUUUAAACAUUGCAUUUGAUUAGAUUGAAUUUUCUUAGACUUUGUACUUUAUUUGAUGUUGAAAUACAUUUGAACAUGUGUUUGUUAUGUUCAAAUUGAAUU